ACCAACAGCUAGCUUUUUGCUAACUCUCACAUGGUCGCCCACUGAAGCUAAGCAGGGCUGCACCCGAUCAGUACCUGAAUGGGAGACCACAUGGGAAGGCUAGGUUACUGCCUGUA
ensembl:rRNA 5S_rRNA 5S ribosomal RNA